AGUCUAGAUGUACACAACUUAAUGCAAAAAAAGAUCUUCAUACAAUUAAAGAACACGUUUACGUUGUGGCAAUGCAAGACAUGAAAAUAUGGUUUCUUGUAAAACAAAAAAAAAAGAUGCGAACACUCUUGUUUGCUCUUACUUCACCUGCAUAAAAUGAUCGGUAGAUGGUAACCAUCUGCUUAUUUGCUGGUUUCGUUAGAUCAGUCAAUAGAAGCAUUUUUUGGAUCUUAUAAUGACAGCCAGGUAAAUGUAACAUAGAAAAGUUGGUUAGUUUUGCUUCAGAAUAUUGUGAAAACUUUCAACCAGACUUGCAGCCACGAUACUUAACCAUAAAAGGAAGAGGAGAUUGUAGGUAGAUAGAAAAAAUUAAUCAGCAGAUGUAAUUCAAGAUCAUACAAAGUACCAAACCAUGGAUCUACAAAAGCCAAUCGAACAAUAAGGCAAACGUCCGAGUGUCUGGGACAACAAGACACUGUAAUCCUGCUUUCAAUACGGAUCAAAAUCAACCGACCAGUGUAGUGUACCACCAGAGGCGUGCAUUAGGCCUUGCCUUUACCAGCUUGGAGAGACUGAAUCUUUUGUUGAAACUUCAGAAUCUGGAAAAUGACGAGUAUAUCAACAAACAAAUGAAUCAGGGCAAUAAAAAUAGUGGACUGAACUGCACAAGGCACCUUAUGACUUUAGCAGGAAGCAAGACAAAUCACCAAACAAACUAGAUUUUUUCAAUAUCUGAUGUUAAAUUUUCAAACUAAAGCCUCAAUAUACGUCGAAAUCAUAGUAAUACAGUUCAGCUCCCUAAGUGGCUGGAGUUGGUUAACAUAGUAGCCAGGGAGAUUCAGUAAACGAUCAGGAGAUACAUGAAAAAAACAGAGCCAAAGAGUGAAAAAUAUUGAUUUCACGUAAAGAAGGAAGAGAACACCUGAACUUGUCCUAAUGUAAAUGAAAAUUGCCAGCCCCCUUUUUCCGUGUGGCAAAAGGGAGAAGGGAGAGAAAGGAAGAGGAAACUGAAAGUCUGAAAAAACGUUAUUUGCAUAUAUGCUCUUGGAAAAAAUAUUAUACACAAAUAGGUCAUUUCUAAGCACUUUUCUCCAUUUUCCUACUAAUCCAACGUAUAUUUAGAAAUCAGACCACCAUAUGUUACCCACGUAAAGGUACAACUCUGAACCACGCAGGAUGAUGAGUAAUAUUUCCCUUAAUUUAUAAAAGAACCAGAAAUCAUCUAGGCUAAUUCUAAUUGCAACUGUGAAACUCCCACAAACUUACUUUAUAUGACGACACUAUGAUAAGAUGAAUGAAAUUACUAUAGUUUAUAUCGAUAGGAGGAUUUGUAUCCUUUGUUCAUACUAGCAAAACAUCUUGAACUCACACAAAAAACGGGAGCCAUGCACUAAAUGUCUAAGAAAUCUCAGAAUCCCUAAGAUUGUUAUAUGGACUUGAGCCUUCCACCGAAGUCUCAGGUCCUUCCCAAGAUAAAGGUAAAGUAGUUUAUCCAACAGAGAGUAAGAAAGCCAUUUAUAAAAGCUCUACAUUGACUCGAUUUACUUAGCCUCUUGCUACUUCCUCCAAAAUCAUGAAAACAGUUGGCAAAUAUAAAUUUCUAAUCCUGGACAUGAUUCAAAGGAAUUCCAAGAACAGGGUAAAUGGAAACAGAUAAAAUAAUAAAAUAAGAAAAUGAAUGAUGUAGAAACUCCAGCGUGAGAUCUGAUCAUGCUUUAGCAAUUUCCAAGUGAUUUUUCAGGUAUAACAAAACUCUCUGGUCUUUAUUACUACUGACAGAAUUCUCUACCCAAAUAACAAUUAAGCAGGUUUGAGAACGUUGACUCUCUUGAUUCAACGUAUAGGCGGCAGUGGCGGCCACAUGUAUACUUUACCAACGACAAAUUAAUCGUAAAUUGAUUCAGAAACAAAAAGGAGUGAAAUGUUCCCUUUUAAUGUAAUCUUUGACCAAGAAGUUCCGAUAAAAUUAUUAAUAAUGCUAUCUGCAAAUUUGUUACUCCAUAAAGCAGCAAAUCUAAGACAAAAGUGCUCAUACAAUGAAUAAAGUCUAACUACAAUUUUCCUUGUAGCUCUUAAAACAUCAAAUUGAUAGUCAUAGUAGAAGUUAUCACUUUGUGCAGAAUGAGGGAGGAAAAAGAUAAUAUGUAAAUUGAGAAGUGAACCAACCGUUUCCUUUUUGCUGUUCUGCUUUUCUUCCAAGUCUUGAAGAGUACCAUCUAAUCGCUUUCUGUUAAAUGACAGAAUGAGAGUAAUCAUUACAUGACCAAAAAACCGUAACUAACAAGAACUACUGAAGCAUCAAAGGAAAAUUAAAUGUUUUAUUAUCUACUGACUACCAUUGCUGCUUAAAUCUGCUUAAAUUUACUAAAUACACUUAGAAAUGCACAAUCUUUACAAGACUUCCUGGAAAAUCAACCAGAAAAAAGCCAUAUUCAGCUCAUGCAUUAUGUCAGAACAGUAAGUUUACUAGUCAGUUUACUCUUUGCUUUCUGAAAUCCAAGGACCA
rnacentral:lncRNA from 1 species